UACGGGGGGAGCAAGCGUUGUUCGGAUUUACUGGGCGUAAAGGGCGCGUAGGCGGCCACUGCAAGUCAGUUGUGAAAUCUCCGGGCUUAACCCGGAAAGGUCAACUGAUACUGCAGGGCUAGAGUGCAGAAGGGGCAACUGGAAUUCUCGGUGUAGCGGUGAAAUGCGUAGAUAUCGAGAGGAACACCAGUGGCGAAGGCGGCUCACUGGACUGGUAUUGACGCUGAGGUGCGAAAGCGUGGGGAGCAAACAGG
rnacentral:rRNA from 1 species